rfam:Ovis aries breed Texel chromosome 13, whole genome shotgun sequence.
UCCCUGGUGGUCCAGUGGCUGAGACUCCUCACUCCCAAUGCAGGGGGCCCAGGUUCAAUCCCUGGUUAGGGAA